rnacentral:tRNA from 1 species
CUCCCCAGGUAGGAUUUGAACCUACGACCAAUCGAUUAACAGUCGAGCGCUCUACCGCUGAGCUACUAGGGA